UCAUGCACUAUAAUGUCAGCUCAAAAUUGCAGAACUUCAAUACGAGCAUCCGAAUGAGGUAUAUUUGAUCUUAUUCUGACUACUUAUGUCGAGAGUUACGCAAUGACAUGGAUUAGAGGUUGUACGAAGUCAGGAAGAGGGGUCUAUGCCCAUGGUCUUCAUGCUUUAAAUUCUAUCCAAAGUACUGCCACGCAUAAUAGUCACUCGGGAUUGUUAUUCCUCGGUUCUUGUGGGACAUUGUUGUAUGUAUGUAUGUAUGAAGUGUUGAGACGACGCGCAGGUGUUGAAGAGGCAAGAUGAUGUUUGACUCUUCGCCGGGGUUAUUGCCAGUUUGAGUUAAAAGUAGACGUUGCUCAGGGUUACAUCUGAGAUUGGACUACUUGUUGGUAUGCCGUGAUAUCAUCUUGUGAGAGAAAAUGUUGAGGCAGUAAUACGAUGUUUUGACUCCUCACCGGGGUUAUCGCUAGUUUGAGCGGAAAGCAGACGUUGCUCAGGGUUACAUCCGAUAUGGGACUGCUUAUUUGUAUGCCUCACUGUCAUCUGUGGGUGUGUCUGUCUGCCCGUUCUUAGCUCCAGGUCUGAGGUAUGAGUGCCUCGACAGGAGGUAUGAGCUUGAAGCUGAUCGCAUAUGUUUGAAACAAACAAUUCCGGAGUUAUCGCCGGAACUGCAAAAGCAUCCCUUGGGGUUAUCACCAAGGAUGGAGUCGCUACUACCAGUGUUGGUUCUGGGACUGGAACUAAAUUUCAUGAUGUUAUCACUGAG
rnacentral:lncRNA from 1 species